rnacentral:rRNA from 1 species
UACGGAAGGUGCAAGCGUUGCUCGGAAUUAUUGGGCGUAAAGCGCACGCAGGCGGCAAAGUAAGUCAGAUGUGAAAUUCCCGGGCUUAACUUGGGAUCUGCAUCUGAUACUGCCUUGCUUGAGUACGGAAGAGGGGAGCGGAAUUCCCAGUGUAGAGGUGAAAUUCGUAGAUAUUGGGAGGAACACCGGUGGCGAAGGCGGCUCCCUGGUCCGAUACUGACGCUCAUGUGCGAAAGCGUGGGGAGCAAACAGG